UUAAUAUUGUAUAGUGUAGACAUGGCAGAGAAUAGUGUCACUUGACAUGUGUAACUUCAUAACCUUUUACUACUGUGUGGAAUUACAGACAUUUGAAAAAGAAAGGCCUGAUUGAAGGUCAUCAGGUUACUCUGUGCUAGGUAUCCACCUAGCCUUUAGUGUCUCUCAUUGGGAAUUAUGAACUUUGUUUACCCCCAUAUUUAGGCAAAGUCAGUCAUUUGGAUUUUGGAGGACUACUUGAGAGGUAAGGACUUGAGAUGUCAGAUGAAAGAGAAUCUGAUUAAUCAGUAACUUUGUAGUUUUUGUCAGUGGAUUAAAAAAAGCAAAAUUUAUCUUUGACUUUAAUGGAUAAUCUGCCUCAGAAAAUUAACAGUUCAGUGUAGUUUUUAUUUUUACUUCUGUUUUUUAUCUGCUAACAGAGUUUCAUUUGUAGUUGUGGAAUGUCUUCCACUUUUAUUUCUUGAAAUAAACAUUGUAUUUUCCUAGGCCUAAUUCCCAUGGUUCUUUUUUUUGUUUGUUUUCCCUAUAUAAUUGCAAAAUCAUAAAAACAUCACUUGGACUAUGAAUCCAGUUGUAAAUUCAUUAAGGCUAUGAAACUUGCAAGAUAUUUUGAAGUCAGUGUAACUUAAUCAUAGUUUUUUAAGCAAACCAACAUUUUGGUGAAUGAAAUAUAAGAAAGUUAUUUAAAAGCUAAAUGAUUAAUUUUGAUCUUGGAAGCAAUAUAUUUAGUUCUUUAGGCAGCUUUUCACAUGUGAUAAUAAGAAAUCAUUGUGUCCUCAGGAAUGUACCCUGUAGAUCAGUCUGAAUAUAAUAACCUGAAGAGUGCUAUCGAAAAACUGACUUUAAAUGAUUCCAGUGUGACAGUUCAUCGGGAUAGUAGCCUUGCCCUAGGUGCUGGCUGGAGAUUGGGAUUCCUUGGACUUUUGCAUAUGGAAGUUUUUAACCAGCGACUAGAGCAAGAAUAUAAUGCUUCAGUUAUUUUGACAACCCCUACUGUUCCAUAUAAAGCUGUUCUUUCAUCAGCAAAAUUGAUAAA